rnacentral:lncRNA from 1 species
GACAAACUGAAGUCCAGUUUAUGUGCAGAGGCAUUUUGGCACAUUGCUUGUAUUUAUUGCCUUUACUGUGUCUGUUGCACUGCUGUGGUGUUUGGUGUAAUACAGCAAGGUGAGAAUUAUUACUAAUGUCAUGACGGUAGGAAAAUCAAAGACUCCUAGCAAAGGCUUGAAAGGCAGUGUUGUUGGUUUUGCAGGGAGUGGGAGCAGGAGGUAAGCAGCUUUCCAUCUGCAGAGACAAAGAAACAGGCCUGGGAAAAAAGGAAAUAAUGCCUUCCCCCUCCCAUAGUGAACACCCAAGGAUGUCACUGUCCCAGUCCUCAAAAGAGCUUUAUCUCGUACCUUGGAUCAACUUUGUCAAAUGAAGAAAGGCUUUGCAAGUGGUUCUUGCCAAGAGAAGAUGACACUUCUGCUCCAUGAAAUGUAGUCUAAAGGUUGUUUGGGAAGCAGCAGGAAAACACCACGGGUGGAGCCAUUUCCCUUUCAGCUUUAACAAGUACACAGCAUCUCCAGAUUGUCGAUAA